ensembl:lncRNA
GCUACAGGUUUGUGCCCUUCCCAGUAUCAAAGUGUGGCGCUCUAUUGAGAUACGUGUAGGAGAAGAACAUUCCGGGAGGGAGCAGCCAUGUUGCAGUGAACCGACAACACCAAUAAUAUAAAGAACAAAUCCAGGAAGAAAUGGAACCAUACCCUGGAAGCUUGAAGUUACAGUGGUUCAUUUGGUCAACCUGCUCUGAAAAUAAAGGAAAAGAUUCUCAUGUUGAAGGUAGGGCAUGUGCCUGCAUUUUCUCUGCUUAAGCCACAGGGAUCUCAUUAAGGAUCGGGACACUAACACUGAUGGCUUCAUUUUGGGCACAACUCUCAGCAGGAAAGCCCCAUACAAAGAUAUUGAAAACAGUUUCUUGUGCUAUACCUCUUGC